UCACUCUCCUCUCUCUUCGAUUUUCUUCCUCUCGACAAGCAAAACCCCACUGCACACUAGCAACAAUCCCGGACCACCAGACGACUUGCGCAACCACCGCCGAUGCGCAACCACCGCCGAUGCGCUUCUCACUCUCUUCAGAUCUGAUGGUGGAUGAUUCAAAGAAGUUACAGGCUUAUAGCAAUCAUAAGAGAGUUCCAAGUGCACUCGAAACAUCGGAAGAAUAAAUUUUUUUAAGAAUGGCCCUUCUGUGUUUUUUUUGUUUUAUGGUUUAUCAUCGAUUAAUUGAUAAGUUAUUGUAACUUUUUUUGUUAGGGAGUUUUAUUUAUAUAUUUGUUUUUUAAUACUCUGUUAGAAAUAAUCAUUGUAAUUUGGUCAAAGUUGAAAUAAUACUAUUUUUUUAUUUUCAA